rnacentral:rRNA from 1 species
GACGAACGCUGGCGGCGUGCUUAACACAUGCAAGUCGAACGGUGAAGGGGCCUGCUUUUGUGGGUCCUGGAUGAGUGGCGAACGGGUGAGUAACACGUGAGUAACCUGCCCCCUUCUUCUGGAUAACCGCAUGAAAGUGUGGCUAAUACGGGAUAUUCUGGGUCUGUCGCAUGGUGGGCCUGGGAAAGAUUGCGCCUUUUUUGGUGUUUUUGGUGGGGGAUGGGCUCGCGGCCUAUCAGCUUGUUGGUGGGGUGAUGGCCUACCAAGGCGGUGACGGGUAGCCGGCCUGAGAGGGUGGACGGUCACACUGGGACUGAGACACGGCCCAGACUCCUACGGGAGGCAGCAGUGGGGAAUAUUGCACAAUGGGCGCAAGCCUGAUGCAGCGACGCCGCGUGAGGGAUGGAGGCCUUCGGGUUGUGAACCUCUUUCGCCAGUGAAGCAGGCCUGCCUCGUUGUGGGUGGUAAACGGAAGCU